GACAGAGGGUGCAAACGUUGCUCGGAAUCACUGGGCGUAAAGGGCGCGUAGGUGGUUUGAUAAGGGUGUGGUGAAAGUCCGGGGCUCAACCCCGGAUCUGCCGUGCCGACUGUCAAACUCGAGGACUGUAGAGGCAGACGGAAUUCCGGGUGUAGCGGUGAAAUGCGCAGAUAUCAGGAAGAACACCCGUGGCGAAGGCGGCUCUCUGGGACGGUACUGACGCUGAGACGCGAAAGCGUGGGGAGCGAACAGG
rnacentral:rRNA from 1 species